AGCGAACGCUGGCGGCAGGCCUAACACAUGCAAGUCGAACGAACUCUUCGGAGUUAGUGGCGGACGGGUGAGUAACACGUGGGAACGUGCCUUUUGGUUCGGAAUAACUCAGGGAAACUUGUGCUAAUACCGAAUGUGCCCUUCGGGGGAAAGAUUUAUCGCCAUUAGAGCGGCCCGCGUCUGAUUAGCUAGUUGGGGAGGUAACGGCUCACCACGGCGACGAUCAGUAGCGGGUCUGAGAGGAGGACCAGCCACACUGGGACUGAGACACGGCCCAGACUCCUACGGGAGGCAGCAGAGGGGAAUCUUGCGCAAUGAGCGAAAGCCUGACGCAGCCAUGCCGCGUGAAUGAUGAAGGUCUUAGGAUUGUAAAAUUCUUUCAACGGGGACGAUAAUGACGGUACCCGGAGAAGAAGCCCCGGCUAACUUCGUG
rnacentral:rRNA from 1 species